UGGAAGACUUAAGAUGGCGGCGUUUGCACGGAGUGCAAUCACUGCGUCCUUACGGGGGUUGCAAGGCGUCCGAAGUAUGAGUCCACUAACAAAAGUCCAGAAACUCGCCAGUUAAUAGUAUUGUGUCUCUUCAAAAUAUCGGAGAAUAAUUUCUUUCUCGCUGAUCGCCUAACUUCUACUGACGAAGCUUGGAAGUUGCAGAAGGUUGGAGUGCAAUGGCGCGAUCUCGGCUGACUGCAACCUCCACCUCCUGGAUUCAAGCUAUUCUCCUGCCUCAGCCUGCCGAGUAGCUGGGAUUACAGGCAUGUGCCACCGCACCCAGCUAAUUUUGUAUUUUUUAGUAGAGAUGGGGUUUCUCCAUGUUGGUCAGGCUGGUCUUGAACUCCUGACCUCAGGUGAUCCGCCCACCUCAGCCUCCCAAAGUGCUGGGAUUACAGGCGUGAGCCACCGCGCCCGGCCAGAACAUUAGUUUUAAACUUCCUAACCCUUGGGAGAAGGCAAAACACUUGAUGAAAUCUACAUAAAGACUAAAACAUUUUACCAAUUUUGCAUUGUUUGUUUGAAAUUGCAUUGACGACUGAUGGAGUUCGCUCUUGUUGCCCAGGCUGGAAUGCAAUGGCAUGACCUUGGCUCACUGCAACCUCUGCCUCCCCAGUUCAAGUGGUUCUCCUGCCUCAGCCUCCCGAGUAGCUGAGAUUACAGUUUCUUCAAAGGAAAGAAGCAACUGGAACACACAUAUAACACUAACCCUUCCAGCUGCAUUAUGAGGGACCAGUACCUGUCUCAAGGCAAAAUUAUGACUUAGUUCAUCCUCACCUCUGGAGGCCAGUAAAAGUGGGUUAUAGAAGAACAAAGAGGCAUCUAGAUCUUUCACUGGGUUAUUUGGAGAGAAACAUCUCCUACCGAAGGCCAGUUUAACAAGACUGGUAGAGGAGGUUAUCUUAUCUAAUUCACAGAAAUCAACACAUUGAGUCAAGAAAAAUGAAACACAGAAACACUCUAAAUAAAAGAAGAUAAGUCUUCAGAAACCAACCCUAAUGAAAUGAAGAUAUGUGAUUAACCUGACAGGAAAUUAAAAAGAGCAACCAUAAAGAGUCUCAUGGGAGCAAUGCAUGAACAAACUGAGAAUUUUCAUAAAGAAAUAAAAGAUAACAAAAAGUAUAAAGUUGAAGAAUACAAUAACUGGACUCAAAAAUUUAAUGUGUCCAACAGAAGAA
rnacentral:lncRNA from 1 species